GGCACGAGCAUAGUGAAAGCGAGCCUGAAUAGGGCGCAUAAGUACAUGGGAGUAGACCCGAAACCGAGUGACCUAACCAUGGGCAGGCUGAAGCGACGGUAACACGUCGUGAAGGGCCGAACCAGAACACGUUGUAAAGUGUUUGGAUGACCUGUGGUUAGCGGUGAAAUGCCAAUCGAACUCGGAGAUAGCUGGUUCUCCUCGAAAUAGCUUUAGGGCUAGCGUUGCGUGAUAACUUACGGGGGUAGAGCUCUGUAAAGGACUGGGGCCCGCAAGGGUACCCACCCUUAACAAACUACGAAUACCGUAAGUCGUAUCGCAGCAGUCAGAACGUCGGGGCUAAGCUCGGCGCUCGAAAGGGAAACAGCCCAGACCAUCAUCUAAGGUCCCUAAAUAUACGCUCAGUGGGAAACAAGGUGAGAUUUCUUAAACAGCUAGGAUGUUGGCUUAGAAGCAGCCAUUCAUUUAAAGAGUGCGUAACAGCUCACUAGUCAAGAGAUCUUGCGUGGAAAAUGUAACGGGGCUAAAGCGUAUUACCGAAGAUAUGGACUUGCCAGCUUUGCGUUUAUUUGCCUUUGCGAGGCUGUUGGCACCCGAAAGGGCUGUCAACUAAAUUCAUCGCAAGGAUAAAGCAAAUAAAUGGAAAGCUGGCAAGUGGUAGAGGAGCGUUCCUCUCUGCAGUGAAGCAGAAUUGUAAAGUUCUGUGGAGCGUGAGGAAGUGAGAAUGUUGGAAUGAGUAACCAUAAGAAGGGUGAGAAUCCCUUCGGCCGAAAGAGUGAGGUUUCCUAGACUAUGGUAAUCAAUCUAGGGUUAGUCGGGCCUAAGCCGAGGCGCAGAGCGUAGGCGAUGGACAUCAGGUUAAUAUUCCUGGACUAGUAUAACUUUGUACACUGUUCACGGCGAAGUAAUUCGAGCGGAUUCAUGGUAUGUAUCCGUCCAAUUCUUGAGGGAACUUGAGAAGAGUGCGAGCGUCUCCUAACGAGACGCGAGUCGAAUGAGGGCGCUGGCUAGAAAAGCAGAUGUACGCAUGGGUUGUGCUACCCGUACCGCAAACCAACACAGGUACUCAGGUCGAGAAGACCAAGGCUUACGAGAGAACCUUCGCUAAGGAACUCGGCAAUACAGCGACCGUAACUUCGGGAUAAGGUCUGCCUGGGUGUGCCGCAUUGUUUCAAAGUGAAAAAAUGGUAUAUGACGUACCUUUUAUGAUUUUACACGAGUAUUUGAGAUAAUGCGNCACAUCUGGGCCGCAGCAAAAGAGCCCACGGAACUGUUUACCAAAAACACAGGUCUCUGCUAACACGAAAGUGGAUGUAUAGGGGCUGACUCCUGCCCGGUGCCGGAAGGUUAAGGGGAGCGCUUCACGGUGCGAACUGAAGCCCCGGUGAACGGCGGCGGUAACUAUAACCGUCCUAAGGUAGCGAAAUUCCUUGUCAGGUAAGUUCUGACCCGCACGAAUGGAGUAAUCAUGUGGGCACUGUCUCAGCGAAGGACUCGGUGAAAAUGCAUUGGCGGUAAAGAUGCCGUCUGUCCGUACCAGGACGAGAAGACCCCGUGGAGCUUCACUACAGCUUUGCAUUGAAUCGGGUUAUAACAUGUGUAGCAUAGGUGGGAGCCUUUGAAGCGGAUACGCUAGUAUUUGUGGAGGCACUAGUGAAAUACCACCCCUGUUGUGAUCUUAUUCUCACCUUGACCGUUAUCCGGUUAGGGGACCGUGCAUGGUGGGUAGUUUAACUGGGGGCGGUUGCCUCCUAAAGAGUAGCGGAGGCGUUCAAAGGUUGGCUAGCUUCGGAUGGAAAUCGAAGUGAUAGUGUAUGCGCAUAAGCCAGCUUGACUGUGAGGAGCACAUUCCAAUCAGACACGAAAGUGGGAGCAAGUGACCCGCUGUACGUACAUUUAUGUACAUGAAUGUGGGAUCGACAGCGCAAACGGAUAAAAGUUACCCCGGGGAUAACAGGCUUAUAGCGCCCAAUAGUUCACAUAGACGGCGCUGUUUGGCACCUCGAUGUCGGCUCAUCACAUCCUGGAGGGGGAGCACCUUCCAAGGGUUCGGCUGUUCGCCGAUUAAAGUGGUACGCGAGCUGGGUUCAGAACGUCGUGAGACAGUUCCGUGGGCUCUUUUGCUGCGGCCCAGAUGUGCCGCAUUAUCUCAAAUACUCGUGUAAAAUCAUAAAAGGUACGUCAUAUACCAUUUUUUCACUUUGAAACAAUGCGGCACACCCAGGCAGACCUUAUCCCGAAGUUACGGUCGCUGUAUUGCCGAGUUCCUUAGCGAAGGUUCUCUCGUAAGCCUUGGUCUUCUCGACCUGAGUACCUGUGUUGGUUUGCGGUACGGGUAGCACAACCCAUGCGUACAUCUGCUUUUCUAGCCAGCGCCCUCAUUCG
rnacentral:rRNA from 1 species